rnacentral:rRNA from 1 species
GCUUGGGCUCUUUGCUGACGAGUGGCGGACGGGUGAGUAAUGUCUGGGAAACUGCCUGAUGGAGGGGGAUAACUACUGGAAACGGUAGCUAAUACCGCAUAACGUCGCAAGACCAAAGAGGGGGACCUUCGGGCCUCUUGCCAUCGGAUGUGCCCAGAUGGGAUUAGCUUGUUGGUGGGGUAACGGCUCACCAAGGCGACGAUCCCUAGCUGGUCUGAGAGGAUGACCAGCCACACUGGAACUGAGACACGGUCCAGACUCCUACGGGAGGCAGCAGUGGGGAAUAUUGCACAAUGGGCGCAAGCCUGAUGCAGCCAUGCCGCGUGUAUGAAGAAGGCCUUCGGGUUGUAAAGUACUUUCAGCGGGGAGGAAGGGAGUAAAGUUAAUACCUUUGCUCAUUGACGUUACCCGCAGAAGAAGCACCGGCUAACUCCGUGCCAGCAGCCGCGGUAAUACGGAGGGUGCAAGCGUAAUCGGAAUUACUGGGCGUAAAGCGCACGCA